GUCUAUGACCACACCCUGAAUGUUUCUGAUCUCAUCUCAUUUGGGGAGUUAAGCAGGGUCUGACCUGGUUAAUACUUGGAUAGGAAAACUGGGUAUUAUCACCC
rnacentral:rRNA from 1 species